UCCCUUAUAUUAACAAAGAAACUUUUGUUUCGCUCUUAGAAGCGUUUAUCUCGUGUAUUGUAGUAGUUAAAGUAAAAGUCUAACUAGCUUUAUAUACGUAGUCGAAACUGAGAGGUUGAUCGAUCACAGUGGGCCUGAACAAAGCCCACGAUGACAAUUGCAGCAGUGAGGAAUAUUGGUCAAUAGCCUAACGGCUGAACCAGCAACUUGGAAGAAUGUAUAGCAAUAGCUGAUUGCACCAACUAAUAGUUGAUGCAAGAUUGAUUUUGUCAAAUAAAAUUCUGGGUAGAAUUAUGAUAAUGACAUAAUCUAUCUAAGUCUUGACCAAAUUGCGUGCCAGCAGUCGCGGUAAUACGUAUAAGACUAGUGUUAUUCAUCUUUAAUAGGUUUAAAGGGUACUUAGACGGUAGAUAAAGCCUUACCAGGAACUAAUUUACUAGAGUUACUUACGAGGGGGUAUUAAAGUACUGCAGGUGUAGAGAUGAAAUUCUGUCAUACCUCUUUUCUAAGGAAAAACUAUGGCACAGGUUUAGGUGAAAACAUCCCCUUAUGUGAUAACUGACGUUGAAGGACGAAGGCUUUGUGUCGCGAACAGGAUUAGAUACCCUAGUAGUCAAAGCAGAAAAUGAUGAAUGUCAUAGAUUAGAUAAAUAGUUUAUUCUAUAAAUGAAAAUGUAAGCAUUCCACCUCAAGAGUAAUUUGGCAACAUUGGAACUGAAAUCAUUAGACCGUUUCUGAAACCAGUAGUGAAGUAUGUUAUUUAAUUUGAUAAUCCGCAAAAAACCUUACCACGAUUUGAAUGUUUAUAUUUAUCUUUUUUUUUCGUAAAAACAAGAAAUAAGGUAAUAUAUUCACAAGUGUUGCACGGCUGUCUUCAGUUAAUGUCGUGAGACUUUGGUUAGUUCCAUUAAAUUAACGUAAACCCUUAUUUUAUUUUUAUAUAAAGUAGUUCUCCACUAUAUUGGAUAUGAUAA
rnacentral:rRNA from 1 species